GGACAGCCAGGGCUAUACAGAGAAACCCUAUAUUGAAAAAUAAAACAAAAAAAAAUGUUCAUUAAAAAAAGGCUAUGUAUGGUCUCUUUUGUUUUGUUAAUAAUGAGCUGCAGGUUUGCUUUCACAUCCUAGACUAUAUCUUUCAUCAUUAAGAAAGAGGGCAAGCCAGGUAUGCUGUUGCAUGUAGGUGAGCCAAGCAUGGGGGAUUCUAAGGCAAGAAGAUUGUGUGUUCAAGGCAAAGUAAAUUCCAGUCCAGGAUGGACUGAGAGGCAUAGAAAAAUAUUAUGUCAAAAACAAAAAGAAAAAGAAAAUCUAUAGUAUGAAUUUAUAAUCCUUAUAAGCCUGAAUAAAUACCAACCAGGUAUUUUAUUUACAAACCUUAUCCUUGGAUUGGACAGAUCCAGGGCUACACUAACUUAUUAACCAGAUAUAAAGUCCCUUGUUACUUGCUGUUUCUCCUAGUCUCGCGGUUUUGACCCAUAGCAGCUUCUCCCCACUUUGUUCCUUCUUUCUUUCUUUCUCUCUUUCUCUUUCUUCCUUCCUUUCUUCCUUCCUUCCUUUCCUUCCUUCCUUCCUUCCUUCCUCCCUCUCUUCAUUCCUUCCUUCUUUCAUUUAUUUAUUUUUAAUUAUCUUUUUUUUUUACAAUUCAUUUGUUAUCCCCCUCUCGAUUUACCCUCCAACAGCUCCUCAUCGCAUUCUUCCUCCCCAUCUCCAAAAGAAUGUCCCCACCCCCACCUCCAUCCCCACCUCACCAACCUUCCUGGGUCCUCAAGUCUCUUGAGGGUUAUGAACAGCUCUCACUGAGGCCAGAGCAGGCAGUCCUCUGCUGUGUAUGUGUUAGGGUGGGUAUCUCAGUGUCUGAGAGAUCUUAGGGGUCUGGGUUAGUUGAGACUGCUGGUCCUCCUAUAGGGUCAACCUACUGCUCAGCUUCUUCCAGCCUUUCUCUAAAUCAACCACAGGGUUUCCUGGCUUCUGUUCAUUGGUUGGUUGUAAAUAUCUACAUCUGAUUCUUUCAACUGUUUGUUGGGCUUCUCUGAAGGCAGCCAUGCUAGGUUCCUGUCUAUAAGCACAUCAUAGCAUCAGUAAUAGUGUCAGGCCUUGGAGCCUCCCCUUGAGCUGGAUCCCAAGUUGGACCUGUCACUGGACCUCCUUUCCCUCACCUGGGAGGUGAAAGAUGCUCAGGUCUUAAAGGGAGGGGCCUUAGAUGAAAUGCCUAACAAUGGGAAGAGGAAACUUGUAGAGUCCACCUCCAGUAGAAAGACAGGGCAUAAAGUGGAGGGAUGGGGUUGCCAUGCCUCAGUCAAAACCCUCCCUCUCCUUCUUUACCUGCAACACCCUCUCAUGAACCUCCAGUUCCACCUUUCUCCCUCCACUGUCCAAUCACAGGCUCUAGCCUUCCAUAGCAUUUCUUGAGCAAGCAACCACAUCUUGAGGAACCAGUAUUUAGCAUUAGAAUACAAGCAGCAUCAGAGCAACCCACUACAAAAAUCAAAAAGAAAAGAGCUUUCCCCCUUAACAUUUUUUAUUUUCUACAAUUAGUGAAUGGCCCAAGCUGUGUGCUAGGCUCCUUUAACUUUGUAUAAGUCCAAAUUCUGUUUUUCGGAACAGAUGAUAUAAAUGUCACUCUAAGUAUGCUAAACCUCUUGAAUGUUGCUGGAUCUAUGUUUUCCUUAGUUCUGCUCAUAGGAGAUUCAGGUGCCAAGCAAGAAUUCAAGGGAACUUUGUAUGGAAAUUCCAGGCUGCCUCCACACUGUGACUCCUUCUUUCUUUGGUUAUACUACCCAAGUCCUAGAUCUUUUGCCAGUCCUAAAUUCAUCAUUCCUAUUCCUUGGUUCAGUUAGACAUCAACUUUCUAGUUAUAACAUGCAGGCUAGAGAAGGCCCUCAGGGAAAGGACACAGGAAUUUUAGAUUCAACUUCCAAGAUUCCUAACUUUGAAUGGAAUGUUUCCAAAUAGUUUUCUCCUACUUGUUGUUCAGUUUCAAAUACUUUCAAAUACUUUUUGUUGUUGUUGCUCAAAAAUGUGUUCUGGGCUUUGAAUGCUGUUAGUUGGUGGGUGUAUUUUCUAUAAAUUCUUCAACCACUAAUAUAAAUUGCAGGGUUUUUAUUUUUUUAAUUGAAAAUGGAUCAAUUUCACACAGUAUACUCUGAUUAUAGCUUCUCUUCUUGUAGGUCCUCCAAAAUCCUAUUUUCCUUCCUACUCAAAUCCACACACUUUCUUUCAUC
rnacentral:lncRNA from 1 species